rnacentral:tRNA from 1 species
GAUCUUGUGGCGCAAUGGAAGCGCGUCGAUUUCUGGAGCCGAAGGUUGCGGGUUCUAGUCCCGCCAGGACUGUAGCA